rnacentral:rRNA from 1 species
GACGAACGCUGGCGGCGUGCUUAACACAUGCAAGUCGAACGGAAAGGCCCUGCUUUUGUGGGGUGCUCGAGUGGCGAACGGGUGAGUAACACGUGAGUAACCUGCCCUUGACUUUGGGAUAACUUCAGGAAACUGGGGCUAAUACCGGAUAGGAGCUCCUGCUGCAUGGUGGGGGUUGGAAAGUUUCGGCGGUUGGGGAUGGACUCGCGGCUUAUCAGCUUGUUGGUGGGGUAGUGGCUUACCAAGGCUUUGACGGGUAGCCGGCCUGAGAGGGUGACCGGCCACAUGGGAACUGAGAUACGGCCCAGACCCCUACGGGGGGGAGGGGGGGGGAAUAUUGAAAAAUGGGGGGAAGCCUGAUGCAGCAACGCCGGGUGCGGGAUGACGGCCUUCGGGUUGUAAACCGUUUUCGCCUGUGACGAAGCGUGGGUGAGGGUAAUGGGUAAAGAAGCACCGGCUAACUACGU